UACGUAUGGUGCAAGCGUUAUCCGGAUUUACUGGGCGUAAAGGGAGCGCAGGCGGCGCGCCAAGUCUGAUGUGAAACCCCGGGGCUCAACCCCGGGCAUGCAUUGGAAACUGGCGGGCUGGAGUGCCGGAGAGGUAAGCGGAAUUCCUAGUGUAGCGGUGAAAUGCGUAGAUAUUAGGAGGAACACCAGUGGCGAAGGCGGCUUACUGGACGGCAACUGACGCUGAGGCUCGAAAGCGUGGGGAGCAGACAGG
rnacentral:rRNA from 1 species